rnacentral:rRNA from 1 species
UACGUAGGGUGCAAGCGUUGUCCGGAAUUACUGGGCGUAAAGGGCUCGUAGGCGGCCAACUAAGUCAGACGUGAAAUCCCUCAGCUUAACUGGGGAACUGCGUCUGAUACUGGAUGGCUUGGAUCCGGGAGAGGGAUGCGGAAUUCCAGGUGUAGCGGUAAAAUGCGUAGAUAUCUGGAGGAACACCGGUGGCGAAGGCGGCAUCCUGGACCGGUAUUGACGCUGAGGAGCGAAAGCCAGGGGAGCAAACGGG